CCAUGUUGGCUUUCUUGGACGUUUCCUCCCUAAACUCGGGCCGCGCCGCUUGCGCGGCCUUUUUUUUGCCUGGA
rnacentral:sRNA from 1 species